AUUGAACGCUGGCGGAAUGCUUUACACAUGCAAGUCGAACGGUAGAGGGGGCAACCCCUUGAGAGUGGCGAACGGGUGCGUAAUGCCUAGGAAUCUGCCUAGUGGUGGGGAUAAACGUUCGGAAACGGACGCUAAUACCGCAUACGUCCUACGGGAGAAAGCGGGGGGAUCUUCGGACCUCGCGCCAUUAGAUGAGCCUAGGUCGGAUUAGCUAGUUGGUGAGGUAAAGGCUCACCAAGCCGACGAUCUGUAGCUGGUCUGAGAGGACGACCAGCCACACUGGGACUGAGACACGGCCCAGACUCCUACGGGAGGCAGCAGUGGGGGAAUUUUUGGGACAAUGGGCGCAAGCCUGAUCCAGCAAUGCCGCGUGCAGGAUGAAGGCCUCGG
rnacentral:rRNA from 1 species